GAUGAACGCUGGCGGCGUGCCUAAUACAUGCAAGUCGAGCGAAUGGAUUAAGAGCUUGCUCUUAUGAAGUUAGCGGCGGACGGGUGGGUAACACGUGGGUAACCUGCCCAUAAGACCGGGAUAACUCCGGGAAACCGGGGCUAAUACCGGAUAACAUUUUGAACCGCAUGGUUCGAAAUUGAAAGGCGGCUUCGGCUGUCACUUAUGGAUGGACCCGCGUCGCAUUAGCUAGUUGGUGAGGUAACGGCUCACCAAGGCAACGAUGCGUAGCCGCCCUGUGAGGGUGAGCGGCAACACUGGGACUUAGGCACGGCCCAGACUCCUACGGGAGGCAGCAGUAGGGAAUCUUCCGCAAUGGACGAAAGUCUGACGGAGCAACGCCGCGUGAGUGAUGAAGGCUUUCGGGUCGUAAAACUCUGUUGUUAGGGAAGAACAAGUGCUAGUUGAAUAAGCUGGCACCUUGACGGUACCUAACCAGAAAGCCACGGCUAACUACGUGCCAGCCGCCGCAGUAA
rnacentral:rRNA from 1 species